rnacentral:rRNA from 1 species
AUUGAACGCUGGCGGCAUGCUUUACACAUGCAAGUCGAACGGUGAACCUUAGCUUUCUUCGGGUAUUCGUGUGGCACGCGGGAGUGUUAUAUGUGAAUGUGCUUCGUUAUGGUGGAUGACUAGUCCAAAGAUCAGCGGAUACUACCUACGCGCUGCGGCGGAAGGAUGGUGGGGGUCGGACCGUACGUUCUAAGAGCGGCCGAUACCCGAGUAGCUAGCUGGUGGGGUAAUGGCCUACUAAGGCGACGAUCAGUAGCUGGUCUGAGAGGGGGACCAGCCACACUGGAACUGGGACACGGUCCAGACUCCUACGGGAGGCAGCAGUGGGGAAUUUUGGACAAUGGGCGCAAGCAUGAUACAGCCAUUCCGCGUGAGUGAAGAAGGCCUUCGGGUUGUAAAGACCUUUCGCAGGGGAAGAAACGUUUCCACCGAAUACAUAGUGUGACUGACGGUACCUGGAUAAGAAGCACCGGCUAACUACGUG